rnacentral:rRNA from 1 species
UACGUAGGGAGCAAGCGUUGUCCGGAAUCAUUGGGCGUAAAGCGCGCGUAGGUGGCCAUUUAAGUCCGCUGUGAAAGUCAAAGGCUCAACCUUUGAAAGCCGGUGGAUACUGGAUGGCUAGAGUACGGAAGAGGCGAGUGGAAUUCCUGGUGUAGCGGUGGAAUGCGCAGAUAUCAGGAGGAACACCGAUGGCGAAGGCAGUGUUCUGGGCCAGUACUGACGCUGAGGAGCGAAAGCGUGGGGAGCAAACAGG